CCUUUACACUGCACGACAGUGCGAUAAGGGAAUUCCAAGUGCGAAGGCAUAGAGCCUUCGCUUUUGUCCACCGUAGGGAGGUGGACGAAUAAGGGCUGGGCAAGACCGGUGCCAGCCGCCGCGGUAAUACCGGCAGCCCGAGUGAUGGCCGAUCUUAUUGGGCCUAAAGCGUCCGUAGCUGGCCGCACAAGUCCAUCGGAAAAUCCACCCGCUCAACGGGUGGGCGUCCGGUGGAAACUGUGUGGCUUGGGACCGGAAGGCGCGACGGGUACGUCCGGGGUAGGAGUGAAAUCCCGUAAUCCUGGACGGACCGCCGAUGGCGAAAGCACGUCGCGAAAACGGAUCCGACAGUGAGGGACGAAAGCUAGGGUCUCGAACCGGAUUAGAUACCCGGG
rnacentral:rRNA from 1 species